rnacentral:lncRNA from 1 species
CCAGCCCACCCCAGGCUGCCAGCGGAUCGCUGGCUCUGCAGACGGAAUGGGAAAGCGAUUUUUUGUGGGCUCAGAGAGUUGUGUGCGGCCAGAGCCGGACCUCCGGCCGCAUCCCGGGAAGGCUCCUCUGUGCUCUGUAAAGGAGCUCCUGUUUCACAGGAACCCCCACAAUGCAUGGGCUGAAAUGGGGGGUCCUCUUCGUGGGGACUGCCGGUAAAUUGGGAAAUAAAACUCUUUAACACCGGUGGAGGUCUAAGAAGCACACCCGGAUACAAGGCGGGUGACUCCGCCUAAGGUGCGCUCAUGGCUCGAGAUGAUUCACGCUUUUAUUGAGCGGCGCCAAUUCAUCAGAAAAUAUUACAUAUGAAGGUCUUUGCUGUCAGGGUGAGCCGUGCACGCGUUUUUGAACCAUUUGUUACUCAGGCAGCCGUGGAGCCCCUAAACUGGAUUGAGCGGCAUCGAGUUGUUACGGAUCCCUCGAUGUCCCACAGCCACAUCAACUCCCGUGAGCCGGGACACCCGCACCGGGGGUCCCCUCCAUGGGGCUCCUGUCAUAUGGGAUUCCUGUAAUUGGGGGCACAUCCCUAAUGGGCACGGCCUGUAAAUGAGGGGUCCUUCAGGGGUCCCUCCCUAAUGGGGGCUGCCUGUAAGUGAGGGGUCUUUCAAGGGUCCCUCCCUAAUGGGGGCAGCCUGUAAGGAGAGUGCCCUUAACGUUGCUUCUCCGUAAUUGGGUCGCCCUUUAAUGGGAGGGUAGUUCCUAAUGGGGACUGCCUGAAAUCGUGGCCCUUUCACUGGGGGCUCCACAAAAUGGGGGUCCCCUUAAUGAGUCACCGUAAAAUGAGGGCUGCUCCCCUGCACACCGUGGGCUCCCCAUGCGGCGCCUCCUCUAUAAUGGGGGGCUUUCUGUAACGGGGACCCCUCCGUGGGUGACCCCGGUAACGCGGGGGGAUGUUCUCGUCCCGAGAGACCCCGCUCAGAGCGCAGAGCACAGCCCAGCCCAGCUCAGCGCACAUGUGGCUGGGCUGUCCUCUGCUGUCCCGUCCCGUCCCCUCCCCUCCUCCGGCCGGCCCACACGCACACCCAGCCCUCCUCCUCCUUCUCCUCCUCCUCCUCCUCCUCCCACUUCCUCCGCACAAGGCGGGCUGCCGGCCGAGCAGGGGCAGCGCCCCCCCGUUCCCCGUGCGCGCCGAGCCCCCAGGCCAGCCCGUAGCGAUGCGCCGGGGGAGGCCCCGCGCCCCAGCCGCAGGCAGGCCAGCUCACCUCUCCCGUGGGGACAGCGGCACCGAGGUAUAAAUGGCCUCCAAACGGUACUCGCAGUCUGCAGGCCCCGUGGUUCUCAAGAAGCUGCCUCGUCUGGCGCCCGCCCCCAGCUGCCUGCCCGGCAAAAUCCCUGGCACAUCCAGCCCCGUGCCCCACCCUGGCUCUGGAAACCAUUUCAGCUACAAGGGCUCCUACUUUGCCUGCCCGCUGCAGAGCCCCGAGGGCCCCGAGCAGCCCCCGGCUGGCUGGAGCCCCACGCCCACCUACCUGCACUAUGGCCCUGGAGCUCUGAGCCAGCCCGUGCCGGCCGAGGGGCCACUGCUGGGCCUGCUGCUGUACCCCCCAGAGAGCCUGAGCACGAGGCUGCAGCCCCCAGACACCCAGAAGAGCAAGGACAGCCUGAGCCAGGAGCAACUUAUGGUCAGGAAGAAGCUGGACAGUCCCAGGUGCCCCUUGCCGGUGAAGAAGCCAGUAGUGGUGAAGAAGGCAGCUCCUCUGGCAGUCCCCAAGCCUGUGUAUGGAGCCCCUGCCUCCUUCCUGGCUCCCAGGAUGGCUCUGCUGCUGGGAGCACAAGCAGAGAGCCUGCAGCAGCGACCAGGGGAGGCACACUGGGCCCUGCCUCCUGCCACCCACCCUCUGCACCCCAGCGAGCCCCACAGGACUGCUCCUGGUGCUGA